rnacentral:rRNA from 1 species
UUAAACGUCCAUACCACAUUGAAUACACCAGAUCUCGUCCGAUCACCGAAGUUAAGCAACGUCGGACGCAGUCAGUACUUAGAUGGGUGACUAGGACACCGCGUGACGUUGGCU